CCCAGACUCCUACGGGAGGCAGCAGUGGGGGAUAUUGGACAAUGGGGGAAACCCUGAUGCAGCGACGCCGCGUGAGUGAAGAAGUAUUUCGGUAUGUAAAGCUCUAUCAGCAGGGAAGAAAAUGACGGUACCUGAUUAAGAAGCCCCGGCUAACUACGUGCCAGCAGCCGCGGUAAUACGUAGGGGGCAAGCGUUAUCCGGAUUUACUGGGUGUAAAGGGAGCGUAGACGGCAGCACAAGUCUGGAGUGAAAUGCCGGGGCUUAACCCCGGGACUGCAUUUGGAACUGUGUGGCUGGAGUGUCGGAGAGGCAGGCGGAAUUCCUAGUGUAGCGGUGAAAUGCGUAGAUAUUAGGAGGAACACCAGUGGCGAAGGCGGCCUGCUGGACGAUGACUGACGUUGAGGCUCGAAAGCGUGGGGAGCAAACAGGAUUAGAUACCCGGGUAC
rnacentral:rRNA from 1 species